rnacentral:misc_RNA from 1 species
ACAGUAAUCCUUAAGACUCUUCUUGUAAUUGAGGACAAUAGGCCUGUCAUUUGAUCCCGGUGGAAGAGACAGGGUCAGCCGCUGUCUUGAAGGGUAGAAUUUUUUAGUUCGCUUAUAAAUUGCCUCCUGCAGAUCAGCCACAGAAGCCGAAUCAUUAAGCUCAAGGCCUCCUUUAAAGAGCUCUCUACCACUGCGUGAAACCACAGUGACCUUCAUUUUGGAGAUGAAAUGAGAGAGACCCAAUUCACUCAAUCGCCAUUCGGUUAAUUUCGUAUCAGAGCUAGCUUCCAGUGUUGUGGACUUGUGGGCCAGUAUUGAC